ensembl:lncRNA
UGUGGAGCGCUGGACAGAGGGUUUGUGAGGGCCAGGUGGGCGGGGUGGGGACUCGGGGGAAAGGCAGGGCCCAGAAGACCGCCAGGUUCCGGCUUCCCAGGGGGUGAGGGGCCCCACCGAGGUGCUGUGUCCCGACCCCACACGCCUGGGCCCUGUCUCCUUCCGCGGGAUUCUGACUCCUCCGCUCCACAGGGCCUGCGGCCCCUCCAUCCGCAGCCCUGGCCCCGGCCCCGGCCUGUCCUCGGGGCCUCCGCGGCCCCCAGCGCGGCUCCCAGAGGUCGUGGUCUCUCGGAGGCUCGUGGGCGCAGGCUCUGCUCUGACCUGCGGCGCUGCCCCGAGCGCGCGUGCGCACUGCUGUCCGAUCCAGUCCCCCGUGUCUGCUGCAUCUCGCAGGCCUGUAAGCCUCCUGGGGCGAGACUGGGUCUCCCAGACACGUGACUCAUAAUAGCUUUGGUGGCGGCCGCGGCGGGGAGACCAGCUGGAGAUAGUGCGGGGCCAACCUCCAGCCUCAGCUGUGCGGGAACUUGCGGAGCCCCCUGGCUGAGCCUCGGCUGCCCCACCCCCAGCUCGGGCUGUUGAAAUCCCAGGGACUCUGGUGCCCCAUCCCCCGACUACCAGGACGCGGCGUGUGCGGGAGGCGCGGUCACGAGCCCCUCCGUCCGCCCCGCGGGCUUCUUCCCUCGAUCAUGCGACUUAUCUGCAGGUCCUAGCCCUGGCCCAGGGGGCUCCAGGCCUGAGAGGAGGACUGGCUUUAAUCUCCACGUGACCUAGGACUUGGCUCGAGAGAGUCAUGUGCGCCCUGCUGAUGGAGGCAGAGGAGCCGCGGGUGGGGAAGGCCGGGGGCUCGCGCUUCCCGUGGUGAUGCCAGGACGGUGGGGGGUGGAACAGGUUGGCCACGUUUCAUCUGGACCGGGACUGACCUGGUGCCAAAGCACGUGGAGGGAAGGGGCCCCAGAGCCGAGGGCUGCCCCCCGAUGGGAUUCUGGGAGCGGGGGUGGCCCCCGGCCAGGCAGGCCGCACCCUCCUCGCCGGGCAGUGCCUCUCAGCACGUUCACACCCAGGGCGCUGGCGGGGGGUGUAACCUGAGCGCUGGGUGCCGGUGGGGGUGUGGGCUCCCGCCCGGGCCCUCGCCACACCACCCCCCACCCCCCGUCCGGCUCCCUGCCGCUCCGGGGCUCACGCAGGCCCUGCCCAGGGCGGAAACUGUGUCCCAGAGUCGGGGGCCAGGUAGGGCCGUCGGGAGGACAGCGCCCGCGACAGAGCCCUUUGAUCCCGCCUCCAAGAGCUUGAUAAUGAGACGCAGCCCUGUUCCCGCAGAGGGGAGAACAAUCGUGUGCAGCCCAGACAAAGGACUCUUUGUGCCGCCCUGGGACCCGUGCCCCGGCUGCUGGGGGAGAGGAAGGAGGGAAACCGAGUCCCAGAGAAGUUACACGACUUGUCUGCAUGGCCUGGAUUCCUCUAAGGCCUGGGGUGCUGGCUGGGCUGCUCCAACCUCCUUGGGAGACACCGCCCCGUGGGGCGCCCACAGCGCCGGCCACCCAGGUGCCCUCGUCCCCUCGCUGCUCGGACUGUCCCCUCCCGCCCGGCGCUUCCCGCCCUUCCAGCUCCUCCCCUGGAGACACCUGAAGCUCUUGAGGCGCGAACACGGACAGGCUCCACCACCCCUUCCCGGGGGCCCUGCCGGCCCCCACCGCCCGGAGGACCCCCUGCCUGCCAGGCUCCUUGGGCUGCUCACCAGGGUCCCCCCCUUGCUGCUCCCCCAGUCUUAGCACCUCCCCGCUCUGCUGUUCUACCACCUGCGGUGACAUGGCCCCUUUCUGUCUGCUCUGGGGGCCUGCUCUGGGGGCUCUGGUCCUGCCACUAUUUGGGUGAUUUCACAGACCACUGAGAAACCCUAUCCACCCAGUGACCUCCCUGUUCCCUGCCCUCAGCUCCCAGGCUUCCCCUCCACUGUCCCCCCGUGGUCUGGCUCCAUGACCACAUCCUGUAGGAACUGCCCUGUUGCUUCAGCUUAAAUCCACACCCCUCCCCACCCCACACAGUCCUGCCACCUCCGGUCUGCACCGACCCACCUCUUUCUGUUGCGGCUCUAGAGGCAACGCAGACCUCUGGGCCUGGCACCACAGCCCCUCCGACCCCCCGGUCCUUAGCCACCCUUUUGCUUAACUCUUGAGUGUUCUUAACUGCAAACUAGCGUCUGUUCUAUUUUCAGCUAAAGGAGAUCUUUUCAGGGCUAAAGGUGGCUCUCAGAACUGCCGAGAGGGCCCAAACAGAGUCUCGACUCCGCUUGCAGGAAGGACCAGCGCAGAGCAGGGCCCUGUGCAGACCUGUCUCAGCCGAGGCCCGCUGCCCGGGGCUUGGACCCCACCUCCUUGGACGCACCGGCCGGUGUUGGUCUGCAAGGAGCCUCCACUGUCAGAAGCGGGGCUGGCUUCAGUCUUCACUUCAGAUGCUUUCGUGCUGCUCUGCUUUUAAUUAAACCAGCCGCAGGCAGCUUUGCCCGCUGCCGCCUCUUUCUGCGUCAGGUGCAGCGUCUUACACUCAGCACGUCCUGCCCGGCACACCACAUCACCCGCCGCCUCCAGCCAUGCGCCCACCCCAGGCCUCUCCCACCCACCCUCCGUCCUGCAGCCCCCGAGCCUCUGACCUCAGCACCCUCAGCUCCUGAGGGUCUCCACUGCCCUCAGGACCGAGCCUGGACCCUGACUGUGGACGUCUCUGGUUGCCUCCUUCCUACCCGGUAGCCACACCCCACGCGUGGGCUUGUUGGACCCCUCUCCUGUCUCUGGACUUUUUCAAUGAUAUUCCCUCUGCUGGGAAAGCCCAUCUUUCCGGUGAACUCCUACCCUACCCUAUGGACAUGUCAGCUUAGCGACACCUCUUCCAGGAAGCACACCAUGAUCACACCUCCUGUAUAGAGCUCGGUGCCUCAGAGCAUUGAAAUCGCCGGUGUUCCCAGCCAGACUGUGAGCGCCCCGAAUGUGAGGGUGGUGGCUUUGCUGCUUCAGGCCAACACCCUGUAGAGCCGGAGGACGUUCAGUGCCUGUGACGUGACUGGAUUAAUGAGCGCAGCCUGAGCUCACACAGCAAGGACGUGCCACACGCACAUGGCAGGCACUCUCCUUCGUGUGGGCUGUGUCUCUGCACACUCUGGCUCCAGGAUUUUUUCAAGUUUUAUUGAGGAAUCAUUGACGUCCAAUAAUCUGCACACAUAUAAAUUGUACAAAUUGAUAAAUUUUGACAUUUGCAUACACCCCCGGAACUAACAGCACAAUCAAAGCUGUGGAUAGGGACUUCCCAGGUGGUCCAGUGGUUAGGAAUCCACCUUGCAAUGCAGGGGAUGCGAGUUCCAACCCUGCUUGGGGAACUAAGAUCUCAUGUGCCGCGGGUCAACUAAGGCCUCGGGCUGCACCUGGAGAAGCCUGGGUGCAUCGUGAAGACCUGGAGCAGCCCGGCAACGACAACACCCAAACCCGCAACGCGCUGGUUAGAGCCGAAGGCACGAGCUGACACCGGGCCGCGGAGCACUGACCCUGACUCAGCGGAAAGGAACGGAUUUGCCCAGAUGCUUCCAUGUACGAGCCAGCUGCAUAGCUCCGCCAUUAAAACGCACUCUGAUCAAGCGAUCUUGCACAGGAAACUCACCUCAAGCUUACAACAUAAAAGCCAGGGGAAAAUGACGGCCUCUCUGUGGCUGUCACCGUCGGGAACUUCACGGGGGUGGGGGGAGGGGAGCCGAGGCCCCAGGGCGCCCGCUGUCUGCACCACCACCCCGCGUGCGCCCUCGGGCCUUGGACCGGUCAGCUGGCGAGGCGCGCGUGGUUCGCACCAGUUCUCCCGCUAUCUAACCAGAGGCCACGAGGCCUUUACGCAUUCUCCUCUUCCAGGGUGGAGUGGGAAAAUCCCUGCAGGAGCAGUGACCACGCCUCCUUUUCCAGGAAAAUCCGGACCUACUCGUCCUCUCCCCUCUCACUUCUCAGUGUCCACCACCACCCGGGGUGCGGCAAACCGCAUCAUGCAGCGUCAGCGCUCCGCAUAACGCGGGAGUUUAUCUUUGCCUGUGAUUAUGAUGUCCACCCGAGAGUACUGCUUACCUUUCUGGAUCUCUUCUAGUUCUGGAAUCAUUCUCACACCUGUCAACAUGCAGCUGCUGGGUUGUGUGGCUGCGACCAGUCCGUGAACCAGGCUUGCACCAGGGCCGAGCCAGGGACACCGUGAUCACCCUGACCUGAUCACCCAGCCAUUUGUUUUUUGGCUGCACUGCGUGGUAUGCGGGAUCCUAGUUCCCCACCCAGGGCUCAAACCUGCGCCCCCUGCAGUUAUAGCACAGUUAACCCAGAGUCAGCCCACAGAAUCUUAACCACUGGACCACCACAGAAGUCCUCCUGGCCUGCAAUGGUGGCCUGGCUCUUGGCCCCUGACCUCUCCACUUUUCUUUUUUAAACUUAUUGUUACUAUAAUUUACUUUAUUUUUUGGCUGCACCUCAUGGCAUGUGGGAUCUUAGUUCCCCAACCAGGCUUGAAUCCUGCAGUGGAAUCAUGAAAUCUUAACCACUGGACUGCCAGGGAAGUCCCUUCACUUCUUUUGUGAAGAACUUCAUGCACAUAAAAAAUAAAAUAUUGAC